UAGUCAUACUGUACUAUACAUUAUAGAUAUUCCUGGGUCGUUAAUAUCAUGCAAACUUUCAAAUGUAAACAGCGAGUGCAUUUAAGAGAGUCUCAAGCCGUAGAGUCCGGACGCCGAAAUGAAUUGUUUUGAAUAAGUUCAAGCAAAUUCAGCCAAAAUCUGUGUUGUUAUUUCUUUGACUCCAGAAACUUCCUAAAAGUAAACCCAUGAGUAUAUUUAUUUGACCUUUUAAAAGCAACUUAUGGUCUGAACAGAGCUGAAGGGUACCUUAGCAACGCCACAGCAACACCAUUGUAACGCCAUAGUGGUCCCCUAGCAACAUCGUAGCAAUUCUUAGAAAAUAAAGCUAAAAGACAGGAAGCUGCUGUAAUAUACCUGACAAUGAUAAUUUCUAUUUGUAGCACACCUUGACACACGUUGCUGCACUUCUAAAAAUUGUCUGCAUGAGUUCUUAAUAAUUCUUAUUAGUUCUUCCUAAUGAGACAGACUUCCUAUCGUAUCUAUACAAAGCCGUGUUUAGCCGGACAAGUAUAAACGUCAUAAUAUGCUAAAGUAAAUCAAUGCUGACAGAUCCAGACGCGAUGAUACAUACAAAACUACUUAGAAUUGCUUAAAGAUGACUCGUUUCCAUGCAUACGGGCAAUGUAAUUUGAGGUCUGUGGCUGAACCCAUUCACUCUACCUAUAUUUUCAAUAGUAAUCUAUGUUACUAGUAACAAUAGGGUGGAUGGGAUUAAAAUCAUGCAAAUUAAGCCAUUUUUUAGUAAAAAGCAGUGAAAGUGAAAUAUCAUGACAGUUUUCAGUAAUUGUUCCUCACCGGCAAGUGUGGAUCCGACCAGCUCCUUGACAGAGGUCCGGAUUUACGUACAACCAACGAAAGGUUGUUUUUAAAACUUUGUUUUGAUUCGUCGCAUCAUCCCAUGGAAGCAAUUGAUCUAGAUUGGGCGGAACUGUCGGGCAGAACUGUCAGUAGUUACAUAUAAUGAGAUUUUAGUGACGAUGUUGUUUAUUAUACGAUCGUCACUAAAAUCUAUCUUUGGAUUGACCGCUGAUUUUGGCAGCCAGCUGAAUUGCAAAACCUUUUACUCUUUAACAUAUCAUAACCUCAACUAAAAUACUUACUUGUCUGUCUUUUCGGCUAUAUUUAUGAAAUUAUAUCAAUAUCUAUCGUAACUGUGUUACUUCAACUUGCGCGUAACCAUGGCAAUUGGUUACGUGGUGUGUUACUCUGAUUAUGGCUCAUCAUGUUUGUUAUUAAUGCUGCUUGUUUCGUUUUUAAUGUUUUCAAAACUUUGUUUAACCCUUUCCCUAUCAUUUUAGCUAAGUUCUAUCUCUCCCAGCUCCCUCGUCGAGAUACUUCUUUUUGUCAACUGUGACGGGCCCGCUCAAGAUGGCCGCGGAGAGAGCAGUAAAGACAGAAGCUGAAGAGGACGAUAUAGAAGCAGGAGGGUCAUUACGUAUGGAAUAAGUGAAUCUGACGAUGAGAAAAAAAGCUGCUGAAGUUUUUGGUUUAAAGCUAAUGGUACUGGUAGUUUUGCUUUUGGUAUUUGAGACGGACUUUGGGAACUAAAACGUUCUUUGAAAACCCCUCUAAACAGGAGGUGAUCUACAAUAAUGAAAGAUGAUCUAUUUCUGGCCAGAAAUUUGCGGAGUUCAAUCGUCUUGAUAUCAGUCUUGGCUGCAGUUGUAUCUCUAAAAAUCAGUGACGGUUUGAGGAGACACUGCAUCUCACUGCUCAGUGGAGACACGGGGAUAUGAAGCAGUUUUCCCUCUCAAAGUCCACUGCACGUUGUCACAGUCCGAUCAGAGUAAGCAGCAAAGAUAAAAAGAGACUUUACCUCUGAUGUCAGACAGAUAAAUUUUGACGAAAACAGACCUCGGAGGGUUUAGUAAAGUAAACAGACUGGCUAUGGUCCUAGUACAAGAGGAGGAGAACAAGAUACUCGCAAUCUGUACGACUAGUUACUCUUCAGUCUAAAAGGACUAGGACGAAGCAGACAAAGUGAAGAAGAUUCUCGACGACCGGACCUAGCAGAUAAAAUAAUAGCCGUUGGAUUUGAUACGACAUCAUCCAAUACUGGAGUUCACAAAAGAGCAUGUACUUCUCUUCAGCAGGUCCUCAAUCGACAGAUCCUCUGGAUGGCCUGCAGACAUCACGUCCUGGAGGCGGAGCUUGUAAGAGGAUCUGCCUCCAAGCAACUGUUCGGUGACACAAUAUCACUCGAAGUAACCCUUUUCAAGAUCAUGAAGACCUCCUGGGAAGAUCUCGAUCUGCAGAACAUCGUCCUUCCCGAUAUCCCUACGCGCUAAAGGAACGACGUAGGAGAUAUUCUAUCCUUUAUUAAUCACAUCCGUCAACUCAACAACCAGCCCAGAACAUUACAAGGAAUUCCUAGAGCUUGCUAAACUAAUCCAUAGAGAAAGCAUAGAUAUGAAGAAAGGAUACGUCUUCCAGAUACAAAGACCUGGAGCUGACCACCAUGCCAGAUGGAUGGCUAAGUCCAUCUACAUUCUACAUUAUGAAGAUGGCUUUUCUUCACUAGAUACCAAUUCACUGUACGAAGAAGAGAAACGUGCAGAAGAUGGCUCACUUUGUUGUCUUCGUUUACUUGAGAGCUUGGUUCAGCGCUCCUUUCCUUGAAUCUACAGCCUCCGCCGACACCCGUUUGUUACAGAGUCUUCAAAGGUACAAGAGUGUGGACAUAGUAUCAGCCAUCACCACGGCAGUCCUGAAGAGGCAAACAUGGACCUGACUGAAAAGCUCGUCCCACUAUCCUUGUUUGAUAAAGACCUACCUCUAGAGCGAAGAGCUCUCCUUGCAGCAAGAAUAGGCCAACAAACUCUUUGAGCCUU